rnacentral:rRNA from 1 species
UAGUCCACGCCCUAAACGAUGCUCACUCGGUAUUGGCGAUAUAAUGUCAGUGCCUAAGGGAAACCAUUAAGUGAGCCACCUGGGGAGUACGUUCGCAAGAAUGAAACUCAAAGGAAUUGACGGGGAUCCGCACAAGCGGUGGAGCAUGUGGUUUAAUUCGAUGGAUACGCGAGGAACCUUACCUAGGCUCUAAUGCCUCUGCUACCCCUUGAAAGAGGGGGUUCCUUCGGGACAGAGUGCAAGGUGCUGCAUGGUUGUCGUCAGCUCGUGCCGUGAGGUGUUGGGUUAAGUCCCGCAACGAGCGCAACCCCUUUCUUUAGUUGCCAGCGAGUAAUGUCGGGGACUCUAAAGAUACUGCCUGUGUAAGCAGAGAGGAAGGAGGGGACGACGUCAAAUCAUCAUGGCCUUUAUGCCUAGGGCUACACACGUGCUACAAUGGUCGGUACAGAGGGAUGCAAAACCGCGAGGUCUAGCAAAUCCGUAAAGCCGGCCCUAGUUCGGAUUGGAGU